ACCAUCUGAGAGUGGCUGGGAGAAAAAUUUUCCAACUGAAGAACUAUACAGAUUUAAUAAGAGUGGCCACUGAUCAACAUCUAUGGAGAAUACUAAGGCAGAAUGAGUGACAGGCAGUCCACAAAACCAAAAGAUGCCUUGAAAAAGCACAUAAAAAGGCUUGUUACAAGUCACCGCUUUUGACAUGAGUUUGAUGCAGAGUGGACAACUGGGUAAUGAAGAGCAGCUCGUCAUAUAGCCCUAGAGAAAUUUCAAGCACAGUUGGCUGCUCAGCUUAAUGACACCAUUAUUAAAAUCAAGAUAAGUAAAACAGGCUACAGCAGACAUGAGUUUCCUGUUCUUAUCUUAAAAACCUGCAAACACUGCAGCUGCCCCAGAGCAAUACACAAAGAACUCAUCAUCUGGUUUCCAGCCUUGGAGCUAGUUUCUGUACAAAUAGUCUUCUCUCACCUUCUGAAUCCUCCAGCAACCCGUGCAAUGACCUACCAGCAUGAAUAUGACAUACAAGAAAUCCUCCCAAAAUCUCAGAUGCUGGAGUCCAGAUAACUCACUCCACCAUGAGAUUGGCUGAAGCACACAGGCUGUGACAGGCUGUGAUACCCAUCCCUGCCGGCUCCCCAUGCUGCAGACUCCACCUUACACCCACUGCUGCCAUCCCUCUGUAUAGGGCACCUAGCAAGUCCUGUACCCAGCCAUGGUCCACUGAGCAAAACUACUCUUACAGAAUUACCCCAUUGACCAGGAGAAGGAAAUACCAUAAUUCUUUCUGGUUCAAAACUUUCUGCAUAGACAGGACAUAGCUGGUUAUAUACUUGUCCUGGACAAACCACGCUAUUAGGACUUGAUAGCUACGUUGUCACUGCUUUCUGUCUGGCCUUGUUACUGACGGGUUCAAUUAGACAAAUUAAGCUAAUCUCACUCCUAGGGUGGGAUUUCUCGUUGGCCUAGGCACAGUGAGAUAUUUACCUAUUCACUAAUAAAUUUUAGAAGAAGCUCUGAGUACUUUUUUUUUUCCCUUUUACCUUUUGCCAAAAGAGAGUCUUCAAUACUUCACACAGCUUUUCUCAGAUCACUUACAUAUGUGAAAGUCAACAACUUAAUCUGUAUAAUGAGUAGCGGUGCCAGCAGACACUUCCACAGGUUUUGGCAGCUUGGUUUAAUUGUGGUUGUUCUUUGCUUGUCUUUUAAAAGCUCUGUGAAGUAAAGUUGAAGGACAAGACAUGGAGAUAUUCACAGUUAACAUUCAAGAGUGCCAUUUUGUUCUAUGACCCAAGUGACUUACCUGAGAGACACUGAGAGGCUGGAAGUUGGCCUGCACAAUUAAUGAAAAAUAUUACAGAUGAGACAGUCUCAGAAGACAAGGUAGACUGAAGACUGGUUGGACAACUCUAUAAGUGAAGUCUCAAGGCUCUUGUCAUUCUAGCUGUCUAAAUUACUUAAACAGGACUCAGAGGGAUUUAAAGGGGAGAAACGACAUGACAAACAAUUAUAUUCUAACACACUAUUUAUAACAAUGCCCUUUCAGAUUAUUGUUCCACUCAGACUGACACAUUACUGUAAUCCCAGGGAUGAAUCUAGGGAUUUAGAGUUAGAUCGUGCACAGCUUGUAGGCAUAAAAAAAAUACGAAUAAAGAACUGACAUUCAGGAAAUAUAGAGCGACUCAAGGAUAAAUUCUGCUGGGAUGAGCUUAAUUUAUCAAUGUCAAUAACAACGGUGAACACAUCGCAAGAAUACAUGCAUAUUAAUUGAAAAUAACUCAGAUUAAAUCACUGCAGUUUGACAUUUUGAGAUAGGCACUUUAUCUUUUCAAGAAAGAGAGCACUAUAAAAUCUUUAAUCUGAAAACACAUCUUAAUUGCAUGUUAUCACCUCCUAAUUGCUUCUAUAUUAUAUUAAACAUUUUGCUAAUUACUAGCCUGAUCAUGGUGUAAAUAGCUUGAGGCUAGAGCUCAUAACCAGCUGAAGACAACUGGGCACAAUGAGGGCCACAAAGAAGUUUAUCACUUCGGUGUAUUAUCGCGGACUUCCAUCAUUAUCAGUGUCUAUCACUCUUUAUCUCUGCUUCCCUUGUGAGAUAAAGAAGAGAGGCAAUAAUGUAGAUCAGAGGUUGGGUUGCAUUUCAGUUAAUCCAUCUAUUUCUAGCUCUAGAUUUCUAAUAUUCCCUGGGGACAAAAGUUGUCUGCCUACUGCUGUCACUAAUCUACUGCUUGAAGACUGAGGCCAGAAUGCUAUUUGCUCUACCACAAGGCUGGGUAAUGGAGGUGCUCCUGGACAGCUGGAAGUGAAUGCUGCCUCUGAAACCAAAGGAUGUGGAUGAAAUGCGUUGCUGUGAGCAAUCUACCCACUUACCUUCAGACCCUGAGUUAUACACAGAUGAUACAUAGGGAGAGUCUGAGGCAGCAGCUUAUGAAUUCAUCAGGAAAGAAAAUUAUUUACGUAUAGGCAAUAAAAAUGCUUGUAAAAAACUGUCAGAUGACCAAGCAAUGCAGGAAGUCAUUCGGGUAGCAACUAAUAAUAUAGGUACAGUAAUCAUUUAGACAAUUACAGUUACCAGAAAUGAGCAAACCAAACCA